CCUUUCCAGUUGGCAGAAAGUUUCAGAACAAGAAGCCACAGAUCUACUAAGAUUGGCAGAAGAACCAAAGGUGACAUGGAAAAUUGUAUUCACUCAGCAAAUGGCUAGGAUAUACAUUUCUUGAAAGGCUGGCAUGCAUCAACCUUGACAGGGAUGAUGAUACAUUUGCCCUAUCCGUACAGUGAAGAGGCUGAAAUUACAAUUUUGACUGGAUGGACC